AUUGAACGCUGGCGGCAGGCCUAACACAUGCAAGUCGAACGAGUGGCGGACGGGUGAGUAAUGUCUGGGACACUGCCCGAUGGAGGGGGAUAACUACUGGAAACGGUAGCUAAUACCGCAUACCCUCGGAUGUGCCCAGAUGUGAUUAGCUAGUAGGUGGGGUAACGGCUCACCUAGGCGACGAUCCCUAGCUGGUCUGAGAGGAUGACAAGCCAAACGGGAACGGAGAAACGGUCCAGACUCCUACGGGAGGCAGCAGUGGGGAAUAUUGCACAAUGGGGGCAAGCCUGAUGCAGCCAUGCCGCGUGUAUGAAGAAGGCCUUCGGGUUGGAAAGUACUUGCAGCGAGGAGGCGUUACUCGCAGAAGAAGCACCGGCUAACUCCGUGCCAGCCGCCGCGGUAAUAC
rnacentral:rRNA from 1 species